rnacentral:misc_RNA from 1 species
UGUGGGAGCGGGCUUGCCCGCGAUUACGGUGGGUCAGCCAACAAAUCUGUGACUGAUACACCGCAAUCGCGGGCAAGCCCGCUCCCACA